rnacentral:rRNA from 1 species
UGGGGAAUCUUGCGCAAUGGGCGAAAGCCUGACGCAGCGACGCCGCGUGAGUGAUGAAGGCCUUCGGGUUGUAAAGCUCUGUGGGGAGAGAAGAAUAAGUGCGGGCUAAUACCCCGCAUGAUGACGGUAUCUCCUUAGCAAGCACCGGCUAACUACGUGCCAGCAGCCGCGGUAAUACGUAGGGACCAAGCGUUGUUCGGAUUUACUGGGCGUAAAGGGCGCGUAGGCGGCAUGACAAGUCACUUGUGAAAUCUCUGGGCUUAACCCAGAACGGCCAAGUGAUACUGUCGCGCUAGAGUGCAGAAGGGGCAAUCGGAAUUCUUGGUGUAGCGGUGAAAUGCGUAGAUAUCAAGAGGAACACCUGAGGUGAAGACGGGUUGCUGGGCUGACACUGACGCUGAGGCGCGAAAGCCAGGGGAGCAAACGGGAUUAGAUACCCGCGUAGUCCCUGAGCGGGCUGGCAAGGCGCAU